AGGCCAAUCAAACCCGGAGAUAUCUCGUUCUCCCCGAAAUAGCUUUAGGGCUAGCGUCGCGCGUUCACCGCCGGAGGUAGAGCACCGGAUGGACGAGGGGGCUUCGCCGCCUACCGAAUCCAACCGAACUCCGAAUGCCGGCGGCCCAGAGCGCGGCAGUCAGAGCAUGUGGGCUAAGCUGUGUGCUCGAGAGGGAAACAGCCCGGACCGCCCGCUAAGGUCCCCAAGUUCCAGCCGAGUGGCAAAGGAUGUGCGUCCGCCCAGACAACCAGGAUGUUGGCUUAGAAGCAGCCAUCCAUUCAAAGAGUGCGUAACAGCUCACUGGUCGAGUGGACAUGCGCCGACAAUACACGGGGCUAAGCUGGACACCGAAGCGGCGGGAUUUUAAUUCAUUAGAAUCGGUAGGGGAGCUUCCCAUGGGCGGAGAAGCCGGAGGGCGACCGACGGUGGAGCGCAUGGGAGUGAGAAUGCUGGCAUGAGUAGCGAGAGACGAGAGAGUAACUCGUCCGCCGUGAACCCGAGGUUUCCUGGGCAAGGCUAAUCCUCCCAGGGUCAGUCGGGGGCUAAGGCGAGGCCGGUAGGCGUAGCCGACGCGCAGCAGGCAGACAUUCCUGCACCGCGCACGCGGCGCUACGACCGACGGGGCGACGGAUGGGGGUGGCUCGGCGGGGUUCUGGACGUCCCCGUGAUGGAGCGCGGCCCGCGGACCAGGGAAAUCCGGUCCGCACGAGGGCGAGGCUCCGGACGAAGCGAUUGAGCGAAGCGAGUGAGCCCGAGGUCCCUAGAAAAACCCCUAGGCAGGCGCGUGCGCGCCCGUACCGCAAACCGACACAGGUGGGUGGGUAGAACAUACCGAGGCGAUCGGGUCAACCAUGGUCAAGGAACUCGGCACAAUGGCCCCGUAACUUCGGGAGAAGGGGUGCCCGCGCGUACGUGAACCGGCUUGCCCGGGGAGCGGAGGCGGGCCGCAGUGGAGAGGCCCAAGCGACUGUUUACCAAAAACACAGGACUCUGCAGAAGCCGCAAGGCGACGUAUAGGGUCUGACGCCUGCCCGGUGCCGGAAGGUCACGCGGAGGAGUUAGCCGAUUCGGCGAAGCCCCGAAGCCAAGCCCCGGUAAACGGCGGCCGUAACUAUAACGGUCCUAAGGUAGCGAAAUUCCUUGUCGGGUAAGUUCCGACCUGCACGAAAGGCGCAACGACUUGGGCGCUGUCUCGACCAUGGACCCGGUGAAAUUGCACUGGUCGUGAAGAUGCGACUUACCCGCGGAAGGACGGAAAGACCCCGUGAACCUUCACUGCAGCUUGGCAUUGGCCGCUGGUCCCGCGUGUAGAGGAUAGGCAGGAGGCAUCGAUCCGGAGGCGCCAGCCCCCGGGGAGCCGCCCUUGGAAUACUGCCCUCGCGCGACCGGCGUCCUAACCCGAGGCCGUCAACCGGCUCGGGGACCGUGCCAGGCGGGCAGUUUGACUGGGGCGGUCGCCUCCUAAAGGGUAACGGAGGCGCGCGAAGGUCCGCUCGGGACGGUCGGCAACCGUCCUUUUGAAUGCAAGAGUACAAGCGGGCUUGACUGCGAGGCCCACAAGCCGAGCAGGUGCGAAAGCAGGCUCUAGUGAUCCGGCGGCCCCGAGUGGGUGGGCCGUCGCUCAACGGAUAAAAGGUACUCCGGGGAUAACAGGCUGAUCUUGCCCAAGAGUCCACAUCGACGGCAAGGUUUGGCACCUCGAUGUCGGCUCAUCGCAUCCUGGGGCUGGAGCAGGUCCCAAGGGUACGGCUGUUCGCCGUUUAAAGCGGUACGCGAGCUGGGUUCAGAACGUCGUGAGACAGUUCGGUCCCUAUCCUCCGUGGGCGCAGGAGAAUCGAUGGAGGCUGCCCCCAGUACGAGAGGACCGGGGUGGACGCACCUCCGGUGAACCGGUUGUCGACCAACGGCACGGCCGGGUAGCCGCGUGCGGCGCGGAUAACCGCUGAAGGCAUCUAAGCGGGAAGCCGUUCCAGGGAUUAGUUCUCCUUCCGGUAAGGGCCCAGGUAGACUACCUGGUCGAUAGACGGCAGGUGCAAGGCUGGCGACAGCCUCAGCCGAGCCGCACUAAUCGCCCGAGCUCUUCCGGAA
rnacentral:rRNA from 1 species